rnacentral:rRNA from 1 species
AGAGUUUGAUCAUGGCUCAGGAUGGACGCUGGCGGCGUGCCUAAUACAUGCAAGUCGAACGCGCAGCGAGAGGUGCUUGCACCUUUCAAGCGAGUGGCGAACGGGUGAGUAACACGUGGAUAACCUGCCUCAAGGCUGGGGAUAACAUUUGGAAACAGAUGCUAAUACCGAAUAAAACUUAGUAUCGCAUGAUAUCAAGUUAAAAGGCGCUACGGCGUCACCUAGAGAUGGAUCCGCGG